AAAACAUGAGCGAAAGCUCGACUUAGUUAUGAUAAAUAUGGUUGGUAAAUUUCGUGCCAGCCACCGCGGUUACACGAAAAACCAAAAACAAUGACCUACGGCGUAAAAGGUGACCUGAGCCACGCCAACAACUUAAAGAAAAACCACCACAAAGUUGUAAAACACUUGUUCAUGGGACCCCCAACAACAAAAUGACUUUAAACCAAAGGCCGCUUACCCUCACGAAAGCUAAGAAACAAACUAGGAUUAGAUACCCUACUAUGCUUAGCCCUAAACAUAGACAGUACAAACACAAUACUGUCCGCCAGAGAACUACAAGUGAAAAACUAGAAACUCCAAGGACUUGGCGGUGCCCCAUAUCAACCUAGAGGAGCCUGUCCUAUAAUCGAUAAUCCACGCUGUACCUUACCAUUUCUAGUAACUCAGCCUAUAUACCGCCGUCGAAAGCCUACCUUAUGAAAGAAACAAAGUAAGCAAAACAGUCAAUAACUAAAACGUCAGGUCAAGGUGUAGCACAUGAAAUGGUAGAGAUGGGCUACAUUUUCUACCCUAGAAAACACGAACAGCACAAUGAAAACUGUACUCAAAGGCGGAUUUAGUAGUAAGGUAAAAAAGAAACUUUGCCUUAAACCCGCU
rnacentral:rRNA from 1 species